rnacentral:pre_miRNA from 1 species
UCUUAAGGAUGGCCAAAGGAAGUGGUUUCUUGAAAUGGAAUCUAUUCCUGGUGAAGAUGCUAUAAA